AUCCUUUUCCGGUUCGUGAGCAUGAUGUUUGGGUGUUCACACCACUGUGUGACAUGUGCCUCCCCUAAGUCUUGUUUCGCAUGUGGCACAUUACCUAUCUGAAA